AGCCGAUAGCAUAGAAACUAUUUCUUAUAUUAAUCAAAGUUACCAUCUAGCAAUAAUUCUUAAUAUCUGGAUAGGUCGAAUGUUUGCAAGGCAACACUCAAGAACCUAGGAAUAUGGUUACUGUAUAAUUCAUCUCUUUGAUCUUGAAUGCUCAGGAUGACCUAGAGUUUAACUGUCAACCCUGAAUUAGUCAUCCAUAUU
rnacentral:lncRNA from 1 species